GUUUCUCUCUCUCAAAUCAAUCAAUCAACAUUUUAAAAAGGAAGGACAUUAAGAAAAACCCCAAACAAAAACAGCUAUCACCUCCUAUCAUUGCCAUUUAAUAAGAAAGGUAGGACUCACUGUCACUUCAAAGUUCAGUUUCUGAAGUCAGAUUUUCUUUGCUUAAUAAAAAAAAUGCACUGGGUCUUUUCUUUCUUUUUUUCUUAAAUUUACUGUUGGCUUGAAGAAAAACUUUAUCUGGGUGGAUUUUGGGGGUGAGUUACAUGAUUACAAUAAGAUCUGCCUUUGGUGAUAUUUAAAAUUCAAAUCAAGUAAAGAAAUGUGACAUAAAGUAAUCGUGGCAUAUACCUCAAAUACAAAUUCACUCUGAAAUAAAGAACUUUUAAAACCACAGAAAGACAGUGCUUCUUGAGUCAUUUGAACACUUACUUUUUAAGGAAUUGUAAUUACCUGAAGUAACUUGGGUCUAGACUAAAGAGAUAUGGAAAUGUGGACACUGGUGAUAGUUUCUUGAUACCUGCAUUUUAUGGGCUAUUCCUUCUCACCCCAUUUUUCAUAGCAGUUUCCUCAUCUGUAAAAUGGCGACAAUAGCUUUCUGAGGUUGUUUAAUGAAUGAAGUCAAAGAAAGUACAUGUACUAUUUACUAGUCAGUGCAAUGUCUAAUGAUAGUUCUUCCAUAUUGUGGCACAUUUUAAUGGAAAUACCUAUUAUUUUCCAAGCCUCGGGAAUUCAAAAGAUGAAAUGAGACCUAUGCCCCUUAAGUAAUUCACCAGUCUAUUGUAUCCUGUAAGUAGGAUGUGAUUCAUUAGUGCUGUAACAGCUGUCCUCUGCCAACACGGGAGAGGCUGUGGUCUUCCUACGUGAGUAGGUGUACUGAGUCUCGAGUGAGUAGGAACUCACCUACCAGUGAACUAGGAGACACGACGAGGAGUCCAGGCUGACACACUGUCAUAAAAGUAGCACACAUGAUUGUAAGAAAAGAUAUGCAGACCUUUGAUCAAUGUGCUUGGAGCCAAGGCGUGAGUAGGGGAUAGGGAGUGACUCCACUGGAGUGUAGAAGCUUGUGGUUUGGAGGAGAGUGAGAAGAGCCCAGGAAAUGUGUGGCUGUUUUUCAGGCUUGCGAUGGUUGGGCACGUGAGUUACGCAGUGGAGACGGACCAGAAGUAUGCGGUAGACUGCUGGACAGGCUGGCGGAAUGUGUGCACGUUUAUGCCAGCUGCUCAUUGCACCCAACUCCGCUCACAUUGUGCCAGUACAUUCCAGUCAUGGCCAAUGACAGUGAUGGACAUUUCCUAGUUCGUUGGGGGAAAACCCCAGGUUGUUGAAUAUAAUUUUCUUGUGUUGUUUUUUUCUUAACUUACACUAUUUUUUUUCUUAAACUUUGGUAUCUUCUAUGUGUUGUUUGGAUUCUAAUAUGAAAUGUCUGAUUUAUCAUAUCAUUAUCCUAAAUACAUGACUUUUUCUUAACCUGUAAGGGUAACGUGACUCCGAAGCAUUCUGCCUGGGAAGGGUCAAGGAGUGUCUGAAUUUAAGCAGGCAAAAAAGUGAAUUCAUCUAUCUUAAUAAAAGGCAAAAGGAGAUUCACCACUAAAACAUGGUGAAAAUCCCUGAUCUAGUUUGGACUCCUGAGUGGAGGAAGGAAGUACCAAAAGGAGUGAAGUGAAUUCCUUCAUGUCAUAGAGACAUAGCCAGCAAACUUGAAAAUUUAAUCCCCUGCCUACACAGAGGUGAGCAUGCUUGGCCCACAGCCUGUCGUUGGUGUAUAAAGUUUUAUUGGAGCACAGCCAGCCUUAGGCCUUACGUAUUGUUGGUGGCUGCUUUCACAUGACAGACUCUGAAUUGAGUUGACAGAGACAGCCUGGCCUGAAAAGCCUAAAACAGUUACCGUCUAGCUAGCUUUUUUUCCAGAAAAAGUUCAUUCUUUCCUUAGACUUGAGUC